UUCAUCUUUGGGCUUAACUGUAAUUAGCAAGUAACCAACAAUUUCACGUUUACCUCCCUUUGUAAGCUAUGAUUGAGCACAUUACAGUGAGGAUCACCAUCCAUCUUAAUAUUUUUUUUUAGGCAACUCAGGCACACGCUUAUGAGUCUGAGACUGGAUGAAGGGUGAGUUUUGCAUUUCUGUACCAAAUAAAGAGUAUUAACUAUAUCUUAAGAUAAGUCAAUAUUUGAACCACUUUAAAGUUUUUUUUUCUCCCUACAUAAUUGUUUUUUGUUUUGUUUUUUCAAUUUACAGGCAUUGUUUGUCUGAGACUGGAUGAGGGGUAAGUUUUGCAUUUCUGUACCAAAUAAAGAGUAUUAACUAUAUCUUAAGAUAAGUCAAUAUUUGAACCACUUUAAA